UCAAAGGCCCUUUUCAGGGCCACCAUUGGUUUAUUCCACAAAGAGU
rfam:Aedes albopictus isolate Foshan contig134094, whole genome shotgun sequence.